CGGGACACGUGGUAUCCUGUCUGAAUAUGGGGGGACCAUCCUCCAAGGCUAAAUACUCCUGACUGACCGAUAGUGAACCAGUACCGUGAGGGAAAGGCGAAAAGAACCCCGGCGAGGGGAGUGAAAAAGAACCUGAAACCGUGUACGUACAAGCAGUGGGAGCACGCUUCGGCGUGUGACUGCGUACCUUUUGUAUAAUGGGUCAGCGACUUAUAUUCUGUAGCAAGGUUAACCGAAUAGGGGAGCCGAAGGGAAACCGAGUCUUAACUGGGCGUUAAGUUGCAGGGUAUAGACCCGAAACCCGGUGAUCUAGCCAUGGGCAGGUUGAAGGUUGGGUAACACUAACUGGAGGACCGAACCGACUAAUGUUGAAAAAUUAGCGGAUGACUUGUGGCUGGGGGUGAAAGGCCAAUCAAACCGGGAGAUAGCUGGUUCUCCCCGAAAGCUAUUUAGGUAGCGCCUCGUGAAUUCAUCUCCGGGGGUAGAGCACUGUUUCGGCAAGGGGGUCAUCCCGACUUACCAACCCGAUGCAAACUGCGAAUACCGGAGAAUGUUAUCACGGGAGACACACGGCGGGUGCUAACGUCCGUCGUGAAGAGGGAAACAACCCAGACCGCCAGCUAAGGUCCCAAAGUCAUGGUUAAGUGGGAAACGAUGUGGGAAGGCCCAGACAGCCAGGAUGUUGGCUUAGAAGCAGCCAUCAUUUAAAGAAAGCGUAAUAGCUCACUGGUCGAGUCGGCCUGCGCGGAAGAUGUAACGGGGCUAAACCAUGCACCGAAGCUGCGGCAGCGACACUAUGUGUUGUUGGGUAGGGGAGCGUUCUGUAAGCCUGUGAAGGUGUACUGUGAGGUAUGCUGGAGGUAUCAGAAGUGCGAAUGCUGACAUAAGUAACGAUAAAGCGGGUGAAAAGCCCGCUCGCCGGAAGACCAAGGGUUCCUGUCCAACGUUAAUCGGGGCAGGGUGAGUCGACCCCUAAGGCGAGGCCGAAAGGCGUAGUCGAUGGGAAACAGGUUAAUAUUCCUGUACUUGGUGUUACUGCGAAGGGGGGACGGAGAAGGCUAUGUUGGCCGGGCGACGGUUGUCCCGGUUUAAGCGUGUAGGCUGGUUUUCCAGGCAAAUCCGGAAAAUCAAGGCUGAGGCGUGAUGACGAGGCACUACGGUGCUGAAGCAACAAAUGCCCUGCUUCCAGGAAAAGCCUCUAAGCAUCAGGUAACAUCAAAUCGUACCCCAAACCGACACAGGUGGUCAGGUAGAGAAUACCAAGGCGCUUGAGAGAACUCGGGUGAAGGAACUAGGCAAAAUGGUGCCGUAACUUCGGGAGAAGGCACGCUGAUAUGUAGGUGAAGCGACUUGCUCGUGGAGCUGAAAUCAGUCGAAGAUACCAGCUGGCUGCAACUGUUUAUUAAAAACACAGCACUGUGCAAACACGAAAGUGGACGUAUACGGUGUGACGCCUGCCCGGUGCCGGAAGGUUAAUUGAUGGGGUUAGCGGUAACGCGAAGCUCUUGAUCGAAGCCCCGGUAAACGGCGGCCGUAACUAUAACGGUCCUAAGGUAGCGAAAUUCCUUGUCGGGUAAGUUCCGACCUGCACGAAUGGCGUAAUGAUGGCCAGGCUGUCUCCACCCGAGACUCAGUGAAAUUGAACUCGCUGUGAAGAUGCAGUGUACCCGCGGCAAGACGGAAAGACCCCGUGAACCUUUACUAUAGCUUGACACUGA
rnacentral:rRNA from 1 species